rnacentral:rRNA from 1 species
CUUUCCCUACGGGAGGCGGCAGUGAGGAAUAUUGGUCAAUGGGCGAGAGCCUGAACCAGCCAAGUCGCGUGAGGGAGUACUGCCCUAUGGGUUGUAAACCUCUUUUGUCGGGGAGCAAAAGCCGGACGUGUCCGGCUGUGAGAGUACCCGAAGAAAAAGCAUCGGCUAACUCCGUGCCAGCAGCCGCGGUAAUACGGAGGAUCCGAGCGUUAUCCGGAUUUAUUGGGUUUAAAGGGAGCGUAGGUGGAUUGUUAAGUCAGUUGUGAAAGUUUGCGGCUCAACCGUAAAAUUGCAGUUGAAACUGG